AGAACGAACGCUGGCGGCAGGCUUAACACAUGCAAGUCGAGCGCCCCGCAAGGGGAGCGGCAGACGGGUGAGUAACGCGUGGGAAUCUACCCAUCUCUACGGAACAACUCCGGGAAACUGGAGCUAAUACCGUAUACGCCCUUCGGGGAAAGAUUAUCGGAGAUGGAUGAGCCCGCGUUGGAUUAGCUAGUUGGUGGGGUAAAGGCCUACCAAGGCGACGAUCCAUAGCUGGUCUGAGAGGAUGAUCAGCCACACUGGGACUGAGACACGGCCCAGACUCCUACGGGAGGCAGCAGUGGGGAAUAUUGCACAAUGGGCGCAAGCCUGAUGCAGCGACGCCGCGUGGGGGAUGACGGCCUUCGGGUUGUAAACCUCUUUCAGCAGGACGAAGCGUGAGUGACGGUACCUGCAGAGAGCGCCGGCCACUACGUGCCAGCAGCCGC
rnacentral:rRNA from 1 species